rnacentral:rRNA from 1 species
CGUUGAUUACGUCCCUGCCCUUUGUACACACCGCCCGUCGCUACUACCGAUUGAAUGGCUCAGUGAGGCGUCCGGACUGGCCCAGAGAGGUGGGCAACUACCACUCAGGGCCGGAAAGCUCUCUAAACUCGGUCAUUUAGAGGAAGUAAAAGUCGUAACAAGG